CUCUGCCUCGCACAACUAUACGACCCUCUUAUGAAAUCCCUUUUCAUGAUUAUUGCUUCUAGGAGUCUUUGAGAUCUUGAGCUUUACAAGUUUGAAAGAGAGAUCCAUCGUGGCCUCACUGAGACUCUGAAGUUCAAUGACAGAAAAAAAAGAUUGGGUUUUGGAGAAUCUUUGGAGGGAAAAAGUGAUAACAGAUUGAUUCUUUCGAUGUCAUUGACAUCAGAAACGAACGAGAUAUUAGUUGCAAUCACAGAACAUGAAAAGCUAGCCCUUCGUUUUCACGUUUUGUAUUCCUCUGGGUUUCGCAUAAUUGAGGGAAGGAAGUGUUAGAAAGUGAAAUUUUCAUGUGGGGCAUUUGUUUGGAAGUCUAAAUAUGCUAAGCUCUGAUGGAGGAAAUAUUGAUGAUGUGUUCUUCGACUCAACAGAUUAUCUGUCACCUCAAGAAUCUGAUUUAGGUUCCAACCAGUUGGAUUAUGAGAUUUGGGUGAAUGAGCCUCAGAGUGUGAAGGAAAGACGACAACGUUUUCUU